rnacentral:rRNA from 1 species
AGAGUUUGAUCAUGGCUCAGAUUGAACGCUGGCGGCGUGCCUAACACAUGCAAGUCGAGCGGUAACAGAUGUAGCAAUACAUGCUGACGAGCGGCGAACGGGUGAGUAAUGCUUUGGAAUCUUCCCAGUAGUGGGGAAUAACCAGUCGAAAGAUUGGCUAAUACCGCAUACGUCUGAAAAGGGAAAGCGGGGGCUCGUAAGACCUCGCGCUAUUGGAUGAGCCAAAGUCGGAUUAGCUAGUUGGUGGGGUAAUGGCCUACCAAGGCGACAAUCCGUAGCUGGUCUGAGAGGACGACCAGCCACACCGGAACUGAGACACGGUCCGGACUCCUACGGGAGGCAGCAGUGGGGAAUAUUGGACAAUGGGGGAAACCCUGAUCCAGCGACGCCGCGUGUGUGAAGAAGGCCUGCGGGUUGUAAAGCACUUUUAGUGGGGACAAAAAGCUACGGACUAAUACUCUGUGGUCUUGAUUUAACCCAAAGAAAAAGCACCGGCUAACUCUGUGCCAGCAGCCGCGGUAAUACAGAGGGUGCGAGCGUUAAUCGGAAUUACUGGGCGUAAAGCGCGCGUAGACGGUUUUGUAAGUCAGAUGUGAAAUCCCUGGGCUCAACCUGGGAACUGCAUUUGAAACUGCAUGGCUAGAGUAUGGAAGAGGGAAGUGGAAUUUCCGGUGUAGCGGUGAAAUGCGUAGAUAUCGGAAGGAACACCAGUGGCGAAAGCGACUUCCUGGUCCAAUACUGACGUUCAUGUGCGAAAGCGUGGGGAGCAAACAGGAUUAGAUACCCUAGUAGUCC